AUGAACGCUAGCUACAGGCUUAACACAUGCAAGUCGAGGGGCAGCAUGGUCUUAGCUUGCUAAGGCCGAUGGCGACCGGCGCACGGGUGAGUAACACGUAUCCAACCUGCCGUCUACUCUUGGACAGCCUUCUGAAAGGAAGAUUAAUACAAGAUGGCAUCAUGAGUCCGCAUGUUCACAUGAUUAAAGGUAUUCCGGUAGACGAUGGGGAUGCGUUCCAUUAGAUAGUAGGCGGGGUAACGGCCCACCUAGUCUUCGAUGGAUAGGGGUUCUGAGAGGAAGGUCCCCCACAUUGGAACUGAGACACGGUCCAAACUCCUACGGGAGGCAGCAGUGAGGAAUAUUGGUCAAUGGGCGAGAGCCUGAACCAGCCAAGUAGCGUGAAGGAUGACUGCCCUAUGGGUUGUAAACUUCUUUUAUAAAGGAAUAAAGUCGGGUAUGGAUACCCGUUUGCAUGUACUUUAUGAAUAAGGAUCGGCUAACUCCGUGCCAGCAGCCGCGGUAAUACGGAGGAUCCGAGCGUUAUCCGGAUUUAUUGGGUUUAAAGGGAGCGUAGAUGGAUGUUUAAGUCAGUUGUGAAAGUUUGCGGCUCAACCGUAAAAUUGCAGUUGAUACUGGAUAUCUUGAGUGCAGUUGAGGCAGGCGGAAUUCGUGGUGUAGCGGUGAAAUGCUUAGAUAUCACGAAGAACUCCGAUUGCGAAGGCAGCCUGCUAAGCUGCAACUGACAUUGAGGCUCGAAAGUGUGGGUAUCAAACAGGAUUAGAUACCCUGGUAGUCCACACGGUAAACGAUGAAUACUCGCUGUUUGCGAUAUACUGCAAGCGGCCAAGCGAAAGCGUUAAGUAUUCCACCUGGGGAGUACGCCGGCAACGGUGAAACUCAAAGGAAUUGACGGGGGCCCGCACAAGCGGAGGAACAUGUGGUUUAAUUCGAUGAUACGCGAGGAACCUUACCCGGGCUUAAAUUGCAGAUGAAUUACGGUGAAUGCCGUAAGCCGCAAGGCAGCUGGGAAGGUGCUGCAUGGUUGUCGUCAGCUCGUGCCGUGAGGUGUCGGCUUAAGUGCCAUAACGAGCGCAACCCUUGUUGUCAGUUACUAACAGGUUCCGCUGAGGACUCUGACAAGACUGCCAUCGUAAGAUGUGAGGAAGGUGGGGAUGACGUCAAAUCAGCACGGCCCUUACGUCCGGGGCUACACACGUGUUACAAUGGGGGGUACAGAGGGCCGCUACCACGCGAGUGGAUGCCAAUCCCCAAAACCUCUCUCAGUUCGGACUGGAGUCUGCAACCCGACUCCACGAAGCUGGAUUCGCUAGUAAUCGCGCAUCAGCCACGGCGCGGUGAAUACGUUCCCGGGCCUUGUACACACCGCCCGUCAAGCCAUGGGAGCCGGGGGUACCUGAAGUGCGUAACCGCGAGGAGCGCCCUAGGGUAAAACUGGUGACUGGGGCU
rnacentral:rRNA from 1 species